rnacentral:rRNA from 1 species
AGUGAACGCUGGCGGCAGGCCUAAUACAUGCAAGUCGAACGGCAGCACAGUGGAGCUUGCUCCAUGGGUGGCGAGUGGCGGACGGGUGAGGAAUACGAUGGGAAUCUGCCCAGUCGUGGGGGAUAACGUAUGGAAACGUACGCUAAUACCGCAUUGCGCCCUUCGGGGGAAAGUCGGGGACCGCAAGGCCUGACGCGAUUGGAUGAGCCCAUGUUCGAUUAGGUAGUUGGUGGGUAAAGCCUACCAAGCCUGCGAUCGGUAACUGGUCUGAGAGGACGACCAGUCACACUGGGACUGAGACACGGCCCAGACUCCUACGGGAGGCAGCAGUGGGGAAUCUUGGACAAUGGGCGCAAGCCUGAUCCAGCCAUGCCGCGUGAGUGACGAAGGUCUUCGGAUUGUAAAGCUCUUUUGCCAGGGACGAUAAUGACGGUACCUGGAGAAUAAGCCCCGGCUAACUUCGUGCCAGCAGCCGC